UAUCUCAUUAGAUAAACAUGGAGAACGAAGGUAACAGCCUGUUAGAGAAUGAAGGUAACAGCCUGCUCGAGAACGAAGGUAACAGCUUGCUUGAGCUUCCUUUAGAGUCUAGUGAAAUAUUGGAAGAGGUUAACCUUAAUACAGAUCAUGUUGGCACUGUGGCUGACAACAGUGUUGAUAAUGUUGGAGAGAUGUUGAUAGAUGAAAAUGCACAAAGUGGUAUCCCUUGUAUAGAGUCAAAUAGUAUUGACUUUGAAUUUGUCAACAGUGAUCUAGGAAACAGUGCAGAAUUUAAUAUGGAUAACUCAAGUGUGUUUGGUAUGACAGACAAUGACAUUGAUGCAAGAGAAGACUGUGAGUACUUGUUCAGAGACUCUACUUGCUUUAGUGAUAGUGUAAAUAAGCAGAUUGAUGCUGGUACCCUACAACAUAGUGGUGUGGUUUCUGUUCCAAGUUCUGGGAAAAUGAAUCUUUAUAAAGAUUUGGGACUGAAGUUGCAGGUUAUACCACUGAACAAUUUACAGUAUGUAUCAACUAUUCAGACAAGUAAGGGGCUCCAUAUACUAGCUAUCCCUGCUCAGACAUCAGUGUCUUCGAACUGUAAUGAAGUUGUUCAGCAAACUGUUGAGAAAUCUAAACUCAGCAGUGCAGAUAUAAAUCAAAGUUUGAAAAACAGAUCGCAAAAUAAACUGAAAGAAGUACCAAAUCUGGAAGUAGAAACUAGGAAAGUAAAUGAGAAGACAAAAAAGAAAAAUAGAGAUUCAGUAAAUGGUCCAUCAGCAUCAAAAUCUACAAAGAAACUAAGAAAUUCACUGGACAGGAGCUUCAUAAUAUGCAGAAAUAAUUCUUUUAGGAAAGGUUGUGUUCGUAAAGGUUUACUAAAACAAGGAAAAGAUGAAAAAGAAUCUACAAAUGUCCUAAAAACAGAUAACUCAAGAAAACACAGAAUGGUUUCACUUCUGAAUACAUCAGUGACAAAUAAACUAAAGCAAGCACAGAAUACUGCCAACAGAAAAGGCAAAGAGAUUAAAGUCACUUUUCAUCUGAAACCCCCUGAUAUUGUUAGAAAUACUACUAAAGAAAACUUUACAGAGGACAUACCUUCAAAGGCUGUAUCUGAAGAUAUGUCCACAUUGAAAACAAAUGAAUCUCUCUGCAGUAAUACAAAAGGUGGAUUUGAAACAGAUAAACUGGAAAACCAUCAUGUUACAAAUGAAGUAAUUAAUGAUAUAUCAGAUAGAGAAAAAAUUCCAGUCUUAGAGGGAAAUGAACAUGUAAAGCCUCCAGAUAAUCCUGACAAGAUGUUAAAAGUGGACACAGCAGUUGUAGUAAAUGGAGCACCAGGGAAAAAGUAUCAGUGUAAGGUAUGUCUAUCAACUUUCACCAGACAAGGACAUUUCAAAAACCAUAUGAAGACACACAAAGAAAUCACAUCAGAACAAAAGAAUUCAACAGAAAAUGUCACUAAUUUUGAAAGUAAAGUUGAAUACCAUAUAAAUCAGCUUGAGAAUAAAAUUCCAGAUCUAAAAGGAAAUUCAAAUGAAAGUGAAGGGAACCAUGUAGACAAAGAUAUAAAUUUGGCAUCUUUUGUUAAUUCUCAUAACAAUAGCAACAUUAUGACCUGUGAGUUUUGUGGAAUGGAGUUCAAGACACAAGGGAACUUAACAAGACACAAGCUUACUCAUAGUGUGACCAUGGGAACAAAGGUGAGAGGAAGGUUUGAGUGUGAUGUCUGCAAUAAGAGCUUCAUGCAGAAAUGUGACCUCAAAAGACAUGUUUUCACACAUUCAGGGACCUACCUGUAUACAUGCACUGUGUGUCAAAAAGGUUUCAUCAGGAGAAGUGACUUGACUGUUCAUGAGAAAUUUCAUACACAAGAAAAACAGUACAAAUGUACAUUAUGUUCGAAAGCAUAUUUUCAAACAGGUGACUUAUCAAGACAUAUGAGACAGAAUCACAGUGAUUUAUGUGAGUAUGCUUGCCAGGAUUGUGGAAGGAAAUAUACUACUCAGAAAACUCUAAAUCUUCACAGGAACAGGAAACAUUGAAUGGUUACAGAACUCUAAAUCUUCACAGGAACAGGAAACAUUGAAUGGUUACAGAACUCUAAAUCUUCACAGGAACAGGAAACAAUGAAUAGUUACAGAUCUCCUGCAUCAGUUCCAGAUUGUGUAAUGGUUGAUUCUGAAGUAUUUCAGUAUAUUAUGUCACAAGAAAACAAGAUAUAGAAGACCAGUUUUCAGGGCACUGCAGACAUCAGUUAUACCACUUUAUUGAGAAGCUUUUCAAUGUAUCCAUAGCACAGUUAAAUACCAAAGUUUUCUGUUAUCCUGCAUUUUGUGUGAGCUAAGUUUUACAUUAGUUAACAUAUGAAAAUAUCUUUGAACAAUAAUUUUCAUUUCUUUAAUAAUUACAUGACAUUGUAUGUUGUGUUGAAUGUUUCAAUUAACUAAAUAUUUUUAGUAAGUAACGUUUGAUACAAAAGUGUUUGCCGUAACAAGACAACAUGCAGAAUGCAACUUGCAUACAUGUGGGUACUUUGUCAAGGUUGAGUGGUGAGAUCAAAGCUCAGUUUAUGCGGGGUACUUUAAGGUUGCAUGGUGAGAUCAAAGGUCAGUUCAAAUUAUAUAUUUUAGUAUUUUUAGCUUGACUAUACGAAGUAUAAGGAGAGCUAUCCUACUCGACCUGGGGUCCGGCGUCGGCGUCGGCAUCUUUCCCCGUCCCCAACUUGGUUAAAGUUUUUUUUACACUUUCUCAUUUUUCAUCAUAUCUCAGUAAUUACUUGAUGGAUUUGAUUCAAACUUAAAAUAGUUAUUCCUCAUCAUCACCCACAUCAUCUGACAUAAGGAUCAUAACUCUUGCACCAAUAUUUCAUGAUUUAUCCCCCCUUUUCACUUAGAUUUUCAGGUUAAAGUUUUGAUGUACUUUCACCCUGUCUCUGUUAUAGGAGAGAUCGCCAUUACGUCACGCAUAAAUACCUGUUUAUCUGGUGGUGGGUAAAACAAAUGUUUUUACACCGUUUGUGUAUGGGAUCUGAAUUUUUAAUUUUUAAUAACUUUUUCACUCAUUUAUGGAUUUUAAAAGUUAAAAAAGUUUUGGAAUGCUUAGUAUUUUCAUAUUUUCCCAUUUAAAUAUCUUUUUAAAAUGAAUAUCCGUUUUAAAAGACAUAAGAUUUUAAUAGCGGCGUAGCGAUCCUCCAAACAUUUUGAAAAAACAAAAACAAAAGUUAAGCGUUCAUAAUUGAUCCAUUUAAUUUCGAAUUUAUAAUCAAAAGUAAUCAAUAAAUUGCUUGUUUUAUACACUUUCCAUUGAUCAAAAAAUUAUUGAUAUUAUUUGUGUUUUAAGAAAGUUUAAGCCGUUAGAAAAACAUCACUGUUUACAAAAAAACAUGGACGCUCGGCGUCGGCCC